AGCAGCAGCCGCGGUAAUACGAAGGGUGCAAGCGUUACUCGGAAUUACUGGGCGUAAAGCGUGCGUAGGUGGCGGUUUAAGUCCGUUGUGAAAGCCCUGGGCUCAACCUGGGAAUUGCAGUGGAUACUGGGUCACUAGAGUGUGGUAGAGGAUAGUGGAAUUUCCGGUGUAGCAGUGAAAUGCGUAGAGAUCGGAAGGAACAUCUGUGGCGAAGGCGACUAUCUGGGCCAACACUGACACUGAGGCACGAAAGCGUGGGGAGCAAACAGGAUUAGAUACCCCCGUAGUCCCUGUCUCUUAUAC
rnacentral:rRNA from 1 species